rnacentral:rRNA from 1 species
GCUCAGGAUGAACGCUAGCUACAGGCUUAACACAUGCAAGUCGAGGGGUAGCAGGGUAGCAAUACCGCUGACGACCGGCGCACGGGUGAGUAACACGUAUCCAACCUUCCCAUAACUCGGGGAUAGCCUUUCGAAAGAAAGAUUAAUACCCGAUAGUACUUUUUCAAGGCAUCUUGAGAAAGUUAAAGAUUUAUUGGUUAUAGAUGGGGAUGCGUUCCAUUAGAUAGUUGGUGAGGUAACGGCUCACCAAGUCUUCGAUGGAUAGGGGUUCUGAGAGGAAGGUCCCCCACAUUGGUACUGAGACACGGACCAAACUCCUACGGGAGGCAGCAGUGAGGAAUAUUGGUCAAUGGGCGAGAGCCUGAACCAGCCAA